UAAAACGCUCUUUUAAAACUAAAACGCACUAGUGUAAACAGGGCCUAAGCUAAGCAGGGCUUAGCCUGGUCACUACCUGAAUGCGAGACCACAUGGGAAAAACUAGGUUACUGUUGGAA
rnacentral:rRNA from 1 species